AGAAUCAACGCUGGCGGCGUGCCUAAUACAUGCAAGUCGAACGCGAAAGUCCCGCAAGGGGCAAGUAGAGUGGCAAACGGGUGAGUAACGCGUGGGCGACCUACCUUCGAGUGGGGGGAUAACCUUCCGAAAGGAGGGCUAAUACCGCAUGACAUCCCGUGUUUGGAUACACGGACAUCAAAGCUGGGGAUCGCAAGACCUGGCGCUUGGAGAGGGGCCUGCGUCCGAUUAGCUAGUUGGUGGGGUAACGGCCCACCAAGGCUUCGAUCGGUA
rnacentral:rRNA from 1 species